GAUAGUCUCUGAAAUGUCCCUGUUCAGGUGCCAUUUGUAGUUGUCUGUCACUGCUGCUACAUGAGACCGUCAC
rnacentral:miRNA from 10 species